AGGAAGAACCUCUGCAGUGGAGAUGACCGCAGCCCUGAGAAGAGCUGAUUCAGGGUGGUCCCCUGUGUGAACACGGACUGCCCCUUCUCUUGCAGACCCGAACCACUGCCUUGCUCUCUUCAGGUUGCUAAGAUGGUUGCUUCAGGAGAAAAAUCACCUAACAAAUCAGAACCGGUAGAUGUGCUCCCACAAUGAACCAGACACCACGUACGACCCUCAGUUUCCCAGUCUUUGCAAGUAGCUAUGAACAAGUCAUAAAAAGGGGUGGCUGCAACAGAGGAGUAAGGUCAUUCCUAACAUGCAGAUUUUCUUCAUGAAAAUAACAAUACCUUAUCUACAUUAUCUACAAUGUUUUUCUGUCAUGAAAAAUUGGCUGACCAACUUCAAACACAUAUUAGACUGGCCCAGCAAUUAACUCUUCAGCCAAAAGUGAAUUUAGACCUCCACGUUGGACUUGUAUCUGGGUAAAGCCGUUCCCAAGAAAGUGACAAACUGAAAGUUUCCAUUGAAAAGCAUCUGAGAGCCCCCAGGGGAGGAAGAGUCACCUGUUCGGGUUCACCUGAAAUAUUCAUGAACUCAGCAGAGGAUCAGAUUAAAAGCAGAGCCUCCAAGCAGAAGAGGUUUUUGGUCCCCCCCGACCCCGUUUUAGGCUUUACAACGAUCUUUUCACAACUUGGCCCAUCUGCUCAUAAAAUGAUUCUAUGUCCUACCAG